AUAAUAAAAAAUUAGAUAACAUGAAAGCAAGUAGAAAGAGUUUGAAACAGAAUAUGUAGCUACAUACUACACGUCUUGGACAAACAUGAUCGUAAAUAUGUAACCAUAUGCAACACACCUGGAACAAGUAAUGACCGUGACACUAGCCCUUAGAUAGGAGGGAACUGUAUGAGACUGUGGCGGGCUUUACUGAGCAGCGUCACCUCUGCUCCAUUAGAUGGAAGGAUAGUGUUGACGGGUUCUUUCUAGCCCAAUAGUGCCUCGACAGACACUUUUUAUAUAAGAGUGAGGUAAUUUUAUGAACGAAAAGAUAUCAGCGACCAGACUUCAUUGACUAAUACAAGUUGAUGCCCAUUAGCCAAAAGUCUUCUCGAUUACCUAUUUUUCUAUGUUUUUUACCUUGAAAGUGCAGCCCUCCCCACAUGUCUAUUGGGUUAGUUAAUAUGUAUUAAUACACCACCAAAAUCUCUCUAAACCCAUUCAAGUUUUGAGCUUUAUUUCCUCUGCAACCAGAAAUUAAUGGCUUCCCCAAGCGCCUUUGUUCCUUGGAAGGAGGUAGUCUUCUUCGCUUUGCUUCUUCUGGCUUUCAACGUUUCCGCUAGGGAACUUGUUGGAACCAACAUUGUGGCUCGCACUAUGAGAUGACAAUAGAGACGAAUGUGGGCAGGAGAUUGAUUGCAAGACAGUUGGAUACCUCUUGGGGAGGAAAUUAUUCUCCUCCUCCCCCUCGUCGUCCUCCUCCUCGGCCUCCUUGUCGUUAUACUCCUCGUCCUUCUCUUCCUCGUUCUCGUCCCGGUUCCCGUCCUCUUCCUCCACGCUGAUCCUCCAAGGGAAAAAAUUUGAAUUGUUUGUGUGUUUUAUCUUUAAUUCCCUUUGUUUUAGCAUGUUUAGAUUUGGAGGAUAAGGAUAUUUACAAGUAAAGUCCUAUGAACUUUCUUUUUUCUUUAAUGGUGUUGUGUGAUUUUGGUCAAGCCAUAGGCGCAAGCCCUCUGGAGUUAAUGACUCAUAUCUUUCUAAACAAUGUUAGUUCAAUUAUGAGAGCUCAAACUUUAUAGAGUUUUGAUAUUAUUCUAUACAGCUUUAGUUUUAAAACUCUACGAAUUUCAUA